rnacentral:rRNA from 1 species
AGCGAACGCUGGCGGCGUGCCUAAUACAUGCAAGUCGAGCGCAGGAAGCCGUCUGAACCCUUCGGGGGGACGACGGUGGAAUGAGCGGCGGACGGGUGAGUAACACGUAAAGAACCUACCCAUAGGUCUGGGAUAACCACGAGAAAGCGGGGCUAAUACCGGAUGUGUCAUCGGACCGCAUGGUCCGCUGCUGAAAGGCGCUUCGGCGUCGCCCAAGGAUGGCUUUGCGGUGCGUUAGCUAGUUGGUGGGGUAACGGCCCACCAAGGCGACGAUGCAUAGCCGACCUGAGAGGGUGAUCGGCCACACUGGGACUGAGACACGGCCCAGACUCCUACGGGAGGCAGCAGUAGGGAAUCUUCCACAAUGGACGAAAGUCUGAUGGAGCAACGCCGCGUGAACGAUGAAGGCUUUCGGGUCGUAAAGUUCUGUUGUAAGGGAAGAACAAGUGCCGCAGGUAAUGGCGGCACCUUGACGGUACCUUGCGAGAAAGCCACGGCUAACUACGUGCCAGCCGCCGCCGUAAGAC